AGGUGGAUCCGUGGCCCGGGGACUGGGGACCCCCGUGACAGCUGGAAGGAGAAGAGAGAGGCGUAGGGCGCGUGGAGGGACGGAGAAGGGCGGUGGCGCGGCGUGCCCAAGCCUGGGCCCCUCACCCUCCCCCAGGUGUAUACACACGCCGCGGGCCCACCUCCCCGCCCCCCCCCCGCCCGCCCCCACGCCGGCGCCUCAGGAAAGGUGGUGGAUGAGGGACUCGCCUGCGGCUCCCCCGGCCUGAAGCAACUCCAUCCGUUCCUGCAGCUGCCGGACGUGCGCCUCCAGGUCUCGGUUACGGGCCUGGGCCUCGCGGAGUUGGCUGCAGGGGAGGGCCUCCUGGAGUUCCCGCAGCGUCACCUCGGCCUCUGCCACCGCCUCCGGAAUGGCCUCCGGAAUGGCCUCUGGAACUGCCGCUUCAGCCUGGCUCCCAGAGGGCCUAGCACUCCAUGGCGCACACUAUCCCUGAAGGCCUCCCCUUUUCUCUCGAUUCGUCCCUCACUGACCCUCUCCUCUAAAGACUCCUAAAGACUCACCGUUUCCUCUGGUGGGGGCACCAUGGGUUCCAGGCUGGGCUCUUGCAGUGGCUCAGGCAACGCCUCGGCCUCCAGUUCCAUGGGCGUGGAGCCCGGGAGCUCAUCACCCCUGGGGAGAGGAAGAGGGCGAGGGGAGGAAGAGCCGGCCUCACCCCAGAGGCUGCCGAUCCCCUGAUCCCCUGCGUUUACAGCCAGGACUCCCUAGCCUGUGCCCUGGGGCAGCCAGACCUGAAGGCUCCAGGCUUGAGGAGGGGGAGGGGCAGAGUGAAGGCAACAAAUUGCCAGGCUGGUGGGACAGGUCCUCCUCUCGUUAGGAAAAGGCCUGCCCCUGGCAUGGCCUCAGGCCCCUGGAAGCUGGCCUCUCUGCACCUUCCUCAGGAACCUGGGGUCAGGACACCCAUGUUCUAGGAUCUGCCCAUCUCCGUCUCCAUGUGCGCUUUACAGGCCCCCUCUCCUAAGGGCCUCAGGAAGUGAGGGAGACACUCCCAGCUCUGGCCACCUCCAAAGAGGUGGUCUUCAGACUGGGUGUUGGACCCCAAGACUGACUCUAGACAGCAGCCACCCCCCCACCCCCAGACCCAGGUGCUGGGAGGAAGACAGACCCUCCCAAGGAAUAUGAAAUUGCAAUAAAAGUGAUGUCCCCUCCAACCCAGCAGUCCCUCUUGUAGAAAUAUGUCUCAAGGACCCAAUGAUGCUCGACAAGCGCCAAGACCAACCUGCGGCUGUUCAUCCAGCCUCGGUCAUGACAGAGAGGCGGGUUAGCUGAGUCCUGACCCGCCCAGUAAGGAGAACACUCCCCAGCGGGUCAGGAUUGUGUUAUAGUUUGUUCAAGAAAUGGCACUUGCGGUACAUUGUCCACUAACAAAACAGAUUAGAAUACAGCAUGUUCUCACAGCUGUUAGGUACGUGUGCUGUGAGCCAGGGACCGUUGCUGCUGGCGGCCUUCCUUUUUCUCAUCCCUAUUUUCUAAUAUACUUGUGAUAAGCAAUGUAUUAUUUUCAGAAUCAAUGUUUUAAGAAGGCUUUGUGGAAUGUAA